GAUGAACGCUAGCUACAGGCUUAACACAUGCAAGUCGAGGGGUAGCAGGGUAGCAAUACCGCUGACGACCGGCGCACGGGUGAGUAACGCGUAUCCAACCUGCCCCCAACUAGGGAAUAACCUUGCGAAAGUAAGACUAAUACCCUAUAAUUUCCUCAGAUGUCAUCUGACGAGGAAUAAAGAUUUAUCGGUUGUGGAUGGGGAUGCGUCUGAUUAGCUUGUUGGCGGGGUAACGGCCCACCAAGGCAACGAUCAGUAGGGGUUCUGAGAGGAAGGUCCCCCACAUUGGAACUGAGACACGGUCCAAACUCCUACGGGAGGCAGCAGUGAGGAAUAUUGGUCAAUGGGCGGAAGCCUGAACCAGCCAAGUAGCGUGCAGGAUGACGGCCCUAUGGGUUGUAAACUGCUUUUAUACAGGAAUAAAGUUAGCCACGUGUGGUUAUUUGUAGGUACUGUAUGAAUAAGGACCGGCUAAUUCCGUGCCAGCCGCCGCAGUAA
rnacentral:rRNA from 1 species